GGAUAUGUUUACAUGGAAGCGUUCUUAGCGGCGGACGGGUGAGUAACACGUGGGUAACCUGCCUCAAAGUGGGGGAUAGCCUUCCGAAAGGAAGAUUAAUACCGCAUAAGCCUACAGUGCCGCAUGGCACAGCAGGAAAAGGAGCAAUCCGCUUUGAGAUGGACCCGCGGCGCAUUAGCUAGUUGGUGAGGUAAUGGCUCACCAAGGCGACGAUGCGUAGCCGACCUGAGAGGGUGAUCGGCCACAUUGGAACUGAGACACGGUCCAGACUCCUACGGGAGGCAGCAGUGGGGAAUAUUGCACAAUGGGCGAAAGCCUGAUGCAGCAACGCCGCGUGAGUGAUGAAGGCCUUCGGGUCGUAAAGCUCUUUGAUCAGGGAUGAUAAUGACAGUACCUGAAAAACAAGCCACGGCUAACUACGUGCCAGCAGCCGCGGUAAUACGUAGGUGGCGAGCGUUGUCCGGAAUUACUGGGCGUAAAGGAUGCGUAGGUGGAUACUUAAGUGGGAUGUGAAAUCCCCGGGCUCAACCCGGGAACUGCAUUCCAAACUGGGUAUCUAGAGUGCAGGAGAGGAAAGCGGAAUUCCUAGUGUAGCGGUGAAAUGCGUAGAUAUUAGGAGGAACACCAGUGGCGAAGGCGGCUUUCCGGACUGUAACUGACACUGAGGCAUGAAAGCGUGGGUAGCAAACAGGAUUAGAUACCCUGGUAGUCCACGCCGUAAACGAUGGGUACUAGGUGUAGGAGGUAUCGACCCCUUCUGUGCCGUCGUUAACACAAUAAGUACCCCGCCUGGGGAGUACGGUCGCAAGACUAAAACUCAAAGGAAUUGACGGGGGCCCGCACAAGCAGCGGAGCAUGUGGUUUAAUUCGAAGCAACGCGAAGAACCUUACCUAGACUUGACAUCUCCUGAAUUACCCUUAACCGGGGAAGCCCUUCGGGGCAGAAGACAGGUGGUGCAUGGUUGUCGUCAGCUCG
rnacentral:rRNA from 1 species